rnacentral:rRNA from 1 species
UACAGAGGGGGCAAGCGUUAUUCGGAAUUAUUGGGCGUAAAGCGCACGUAGGCGGCAUUGCAAGUCGGAUGUGAAAUCCCUCGGCUUAACCAAGGAAGUGCAUCCGAAACUGCAGUGCUUGAGUACUUAAGAGGAUCGCGGAAUUCCCGGUGUAGAGGUGAAAUUCGUAGAUAUCGGGAGGAACACCAGUGGCGAAAGCGCUCUGCUAGGCCGCAACUGACACUGAGGGACGAAAGCUAGGGGAGCGAAUGGG